rnacentral:rRNA from 1 species
GACGAACGCUGGCGGCGUGCUUAACACAUGCAAGUCGAACGGAAAGGCCUCUUUCGGGGGGUACUCGAGUGGCGAACGGGUGAGUAACACGUGAGUAACCUGCCCUUGACUUUGGGAUAACUUCAGGAAACUGGGGCUAAUACCGGAUAGGAGCUCCUGCUGCAUGGUGGGGGUUAGAAAGUUUCGGCGGUUGGGGAUGGACUCGCGGCUUAUCAGCUUGUUGGUGGGGUAGUGGCUUACCAAGGCUUUGACGGGUAGCCGGCCUGAGAGGGUGACCGGCCACAUUGGGACUGAGAUACGGCCCAGACUCCUACGGGAGGCAGCAGUGGGGAAUAUUGCACAAUGGGUGGAAGCCUGAUGCAGCAACGCCGUGUGCGGGAUGACGGCCUUCGGGUUGUAAACCGCUUUCGCUCAUGACGAAGCUUUGUGUGACGGUAGUGGGUAAAGAAGCACCGGCUAACUACGUGC